UGUCACAUAUCGGUACGUAAG
rnacentral:piRNA from 1 species